UGUAUGUGAUGGUAUGAACUAAUUGUAAAUGUAUAUAAUUGUAUGAUAUGUAUGAUAUAAACUACACAUGGGUGUGAAGUCCAGAACAAUAAUAGCCCAGGUUUAUAGGGAUAUGGACCAUGGGGAUCAAAGUGGCAUGAGCUGGGCUUGAGACUUUUCUAGAAGUACCUCAUGCAGGGAAGUUAAGUGCCCGCAUGCCAAAGAUGAGCUGAGAGAGCUGGAGGGAGAGACGACAGUUAAACGGACGGAGAAGGUGUGCCUGGGACUCAGCUGGAGGAGACAGAGCUGUGUACUGCCUGAGGACUCUAAAAAGUGCGACAGACCUGGCUCUGGACGGCGGCUCUGGGGGAGAGAGACUGAUCAAGUUCCCCGGCGGCCCCCGGUGAAGUGGAUAGCGAGACUCAGUGUGGCCGUCUGCGGCGAGCGGCAACGGGCUCCGACAUUAGCAAAUCCCGCUGGGCGGAGCGGAAGAGGAGUCUCCUGAUCGUGACCCCGUGUGGCGGUGGGCAGCGAGAUUGGUGAGUCCACAGCCACGCUAUCCCUCGCUGGGCGGAUCAAGAGGCGGAGCUGCCCCACAAAUCAGGCCCCAAAGUGGUCAGUGACAGUGGGAGGUGGCCGGGAGCGGCGAGUGACAGCGGGAGGCGGGUCUGAAAGCUUCCCUCAGCAGGCUGCACUCCGUAGACUAAACCAGGGACAGCCCCGAUGAGGCGGAACAGGAGUGCCUUGUAAAAUUAUCUCCUACUGAGCUCCCGCAGCAGCACCCCUGUUAUAGAUACAACCAAUUACAUUAUACAGCUAACCCCAGAUACAAUGGUACAUUUAUUGAGCUUAGGCCCAUGAAGUCCAGUACCAGAAUAAUUCAUCUUAAACAGCGCAGACAUGAUUAUUGACAGGCUAUAGGGAUGGGACUGGUUAUGUGUGCCUAAUGGAAUGUAACUGGCAGCUUGAAUACUACUGCAUACUUCCCUGUAUGCUUUCAUCCUAUGCAUCACACUGCUGUCUACAAAGACUCUACUAACUGUUUCAUUGCCAGCUAGACAGCAACUAAUUGCAUGCUCUCCCUUUUUCGCUAUCAGAAGGUUCCUAGGAAUAGAACAGGAUUAUUAAUUCGCCACGUAAUUGACCCUGGAAGACAUUAUUACUCUCCACAAGUUAUUAUAGGGAGACAAGAAUUUGAGAGUAAAUCCAAGCGCUAUUGUUGACGACUCACAUGGGUUAAUUUCUGAGAUAGAAACAGAUUCAACCGACUAGAGAUACAUUGUUUCUACAUACGCAGGAUAUUGUGCUGCUACGGCCUGGAUAGCUUACUAACUCUUAGUGACUAGUAGUUUGGUACACUAUUUACAAUACCACUAUUGGAUUUUAAAACAACAGUUGUGGCCACACCUAACCAUUGAACUUUAAAGUGAUCACUUAAGGUCGCCUGUCCGGUGUAUUCACGAGAUCCUGAUCCUGGAGAGUCCUGUACCGUGAGGGCAACCUGAAAACCAAGAAAGUACCGGAUUAAGUAGGGGUGGCUGAAGGGGACAAGCUGGCAGGACUAUUGUCCAGGAUGUCCAUGAGGUAAGCUGCCAGCACUGCACCGCCAUCUGUUAAGAGGCACGCUCUGCAUUGUCUAUUUCAAAUGUCAACCAACAGCCACUGAGCAUCAGGACCCAGCAGUCCUCGGGGCAUCUUUCCUCCAUCACACCACUGAUGAAGGGGCCAUGAAGAGGAACACUGUAGGCUAUCAAGAAGAGGUAAUGCUGGGACUCCAUCUUCCUCUGAGACCAAAACCAGGAACUGAACUGGCAGCAAGUUCAUCAUCCUCUGAGACCAAAAAGCCCCUGAGCUCCUGUGUAAUCAAUGUGUUAUCUAGUUUCUGGGGGAGGGGUUCACGAUGAGUCACCAGUUCCUUUGCAUAUGCUGAUCAGGUUCAGCCUUGAAGACAUCCAAAGGGCUGGCCUGAGUUUCCUGUCCUCUACCUGUUUGGAAUAUCUAUUGUUCUAAUAAUAGUGAUUUUAGCUUUUAUACAUGUAAUCAUAACUAUUCGCUGCAAUGUCCCACAACUUCACUACAAGCAUCAAAUGAAUCUACACAUCAAUCUGGUUGCUUCAAUAGUAAACAUGACCGGUCUAUUUUGUUUCGUUCAAAUAAUACACAUACAUGACAUUACUUCAAUAUAUAUAAUUUUAAAUCAUCA